rnacentral:rRNA from 1 species
AAGUCGUAACAAGGUCUCCGUUGGUGAACCAGCGGAGGGAUCAUUACCGAGUACUAUAACUCAUAACCCUUUGUGAACCUUUAUACCUGUUGCUUCGGCGGCGCGCCUCCCGGGGCGUGCCCGCCGGCAUUAUCAGAAUCUCUGUUCGAACCCGACGAUACAUCUGAGUGUUCUAAGCGAACUGUUAAAACUUUCAACAACGGAUCUCUUGGCUCCAGCAUCGAUGAAGAACGCAGCGAAACGCGAUAUGUAAUGUGAAUUGCAGAAUUCAGUGAAUCAUCGAAUCUUUGAACGCACAUGGCGCCUUCCAGUAUCCUGGGAGGCAUGCCUGUCCGAGCGUCGUUUCAACCCUCGAGCCCCCGUGGCCCGGUGUUGGGGAUCUGCCCUGGCAGUCCCCGAAAACCAGUGGCGGACCCGUUGGGCCCUUCCUUUGCGUAGUAACAUCUGCCUCGCAUCGGGAGCCUGCGGGCUAUCCGGCCUCUAAACCCCCCUCAAGCCCGCUCCGGCGGCACCAAGGUUGACCUCGGAUCAGGUAGGAAUACCCGCUGAACUUAAGCAUAUCAAUAAGCGGAGGAAAAGAAACCAACAGGGAUUGCCUCAGUAACGGCGAGUGAAGCGGCAACAGCUCAAAUUUGAAAUCUGGCUCCUUCGGGGCCCGAGUUGUAAUUUGCAGAGGAUGCUUCGGGUACGGGUUCCUCCCGAGUUCCCUGGAACGGGACGCCAUAGAGGGUGAGAGCCCCGUCUGGUAGGACACCCAGCCCGUGUGAAGCUCCCUCGACGAGUCGAGUAGUUUGGGAAUGCUGCUCUAACGGGAGGUAUACUCCUUCCAAGGCUAAAUACCGGCUGGAGACCGAUAGCGCACAAGUAGAGUGAUCGAAAGAUGAAAAGCACUUUGAAAAGAGAGUCAAAUAGCACGUGAAAUUGUUGAAAGGGAAGCGCUCGCUACCAGACAUGGGUUCGGCGGUUCAACCGGGGCCACGCCCCGGGGCACUCCGCCGGCCCAGGCCAGCAUCAGCUUUCCGUCGGGGGCAAAGACGUCGGGAAUGUGGCUCCCCUCCGGGGGAGUGUUAUAGCCCGGCGUGUCAUACCCUUCGGGGGGCUGAGGUACGCGCUUCUGCAAGGAUGCUGGCGUAAUGGUAGCUAGUGACC